UAGAGGACAAGAGUAUAAACUAUAUCCAUAGAUUCAUAUCAUUUCACAUCUUUUCCGAAAAAUAAAAUUAUCACGCAUCUGAAACAAACAGAAAUUAUAAUUUAGAGGACAAGAGUAUAAACUAUAUCCAUAGAUUCAUAUCUUUUCACAUCUUUUCAGAAAAAUAAAAUUAUUACGCAUCUGAAACAAACUUUUAAAAUUCGUAAUCUUAAAAUCUUUAAAUUCGUAUUUGCGCGCCUUUUUUGGAGAACGAAGCUUGGAACAAGGGAUUCAUAGAGCUACAUAUUUUGAAAGCAAAUUAUUCCACCUGGAGCGCUGAGAGCUGCCUACGUCAUGGAUUAGCUAUAUAUAGUUUGUUUACAAUGUCGACAGAGUGGUAAAUGGCUUGUUUACAAAGUCGUCCGAGCGCUCUGUCGUCCGAGUGGCUGUCUCCCGAACAGCAGUAUGUUUUUGAUGGCAUAUUUUAUAAAAUAAUCGAAAAGGAGGAGAUUCAUACAUUAUUGGCUGGCAACCCGGACUUCUUCCAGUCCUAUCUGAAAAAAACGAUGGCCACAUCGAGAUGGCUGGUGUAGCAACAGAAGCCACCACAGACAGUCAUGUGUGGACGACUGAAGCGACCAAACUACUUUUGGAAGAGUACCACACGAGGACAAACAAAUUCAGAAACUCUAAAAUUAAAAAUGUAAUACUAUGGAGAGAAAUCAUUGAUGUUUUUGAAGCCCAUGGGUACUCUGGGAUCACUGAAAAGAUCCUAGAUGAUAAAUUUAGAAGUUUGAAACGAACAUUUAAUCGUAUAAAAAAAACAAUGAUACUAGAAAAAGCACUGGUAAGGGGUCCAUCAAGCCUUGGGAAUUUUAUGAUUCGAUGGCAGAUAUUUUGCAAGAUGAUUCUACGGUCAACUUGCAUAAAGCAUUUAUUAUGAGCAGCUCCUUUGCCCCUCCUUCCACAUCAACAUCCCCUGCCCAUCCACUUCCCUCAACUUCCUUUGCCCGUCCACCCCCAUCAUCAUCUCCAGCGAAUCCACUUCCCUCAACUUCCUUUGCCCGUCCACCCCCAUCAUCAUCUCCAGCCAAUCCACUUCCCUCAACUUCCUUUGCCCGCCCACCCCCAUCAUCAUCUCCAGCCCAUCCACUUCCCUCAACAUCCUCCACCCCUCCCCCACCGCCAUCAUCUCCAGCCCAUCCUUUUCCCUCAACAUCCUCCACCCCUCAACCCCAAUCAUCAUCUCCAGCCCAUCCUUUUCCCUCAACAACCUUCACCCCUCCACCACCAUCAGCAUCCCCUGCCCAUCCUUUCCCAUCAACCUCGACAGCUUCAUCUCUCCCAAAUACGCCAACCAAGAGAAAUCUUCCAGAAGAUGAUCCAUCUCCCCGAAAAAGGAUGAGAGUAAAGCCUAGUAGGAGAUGGCAGAAGUUGGAGGAGCAAAGGAGGGAGAGUUUAGAGCUGGAGAGAAAGAGGGUGAAAGCCCUACAGGGGAUUGAACAGGCCAUCAAGGAUUCAAAUAUAAUUGAAAAACAAAAGCUUGAGUUAUUAAAAUUAAAUGUAAAUAUCAACAUUGAAAAAAAUGAGAUAAUGAAAAAAGCUUUGGAAAAAAUUAGUUAAAGCAAGAGUAGGUUAGGUUUCCACAAAAAUGAAAAUAAAAUAAAUUAAUAAAAUACUGAA